AGAGUUUGAUCCUGGCUCAGGACGAACGCUGGCGGCGUGCCUAAUACAUGCAAGUCGAACGCUUCUUUUCUACCGAGUGCUUGCACUCACUUGAAAAGAGGAGUGGCGGACGGGUGAGUAACACGUGGGUAACCUACCCAUCAGAGGGGGAUAACACUUGGAAACAGGUGCUAAUACCGCAUAAUAGUCGACAUCGCAUGGUGUUGAUUUGAAAGACGCUUUCGGGUGUCACUGAUGGAUGGACCCGCGGUGCAUUAGCUAGUUGGUGAGGUAACGGCUCACCAAGGCCAUGAUGCAUAGCCGACCUGAGAGGGUGAUCGGCCACACUGGGACUGAGACACGGCCCAGACUCCUACGGGAGGCAGCAGUAGGGAAUCUUCGGCAAUGGACGAAAGUCUGACCGAGCAACGCCGCGUGAGUGAAGAAGGUUUUCGGAUCGUAAAACUCUGUUGUUAGAGAAGAACAAGUAGGAGAGUAACUGCUCUUACCUUGACGGUAUCUAACCAGAAAGCCACGGCUAACUACGUGCCAGCAGCCGCGGUAAUACGUAGGUGGGCAAGCGUUGUCCGGAUUUAUUGGGCGUAAAGCGAGCGCACGCGGUUUCUUAAGUCUGAUGUGAAAGCCCCCGGCUCAACCGGGGAGGGUCAUUGGAAAACUGGGAGACUUGAGUGCAGAGAGGAGAGUGGAAUUCCAUGGUUGUAGCGGUUGAAAUGCGUAGAUUAUUAUGGAGGAACA
rnacentral:rRNA from 1 species